GAUGAACGCUGGCGGCGUGCCUAAUACAUGCAAGUCGAGCGAACAGACGAGGUGCUUGCUUCUUUGACGUUAGCGGCGGACGGGUGAGUAACACGUGGGUAACCUUCCUUUAAGACUGGGAUCACUUCGGGAAACCGGAUCCCAUACCGGAUCAUCUUCCGAACCGCAUGGUUCGAUAGUGAACGAUGGCUUUGCUAUCACUUAUAGCUGGUCCGCCGCCGUAUUAGCUAGUUGGUAAGGUAACGGUUUACCGAGGCAACGCUACGUAGCCGACCGGAGCGGGGGAUCGGCCACACGGGAGCGGAGACGCGGUCCAUACUACUACGGGAGGCAGCAGUAGGGAAUCGGCCGCAGUGGGCGAGAGCCUGGCGGAGCGAGGCCACGUGAGUGAUGAAGGUCUUCGGAUCGUAAAGCUGGGUUAUUAGGGAAGAACAGACGUGGAAGUAACUGUGCACUGCGUGACGGUACCGAAUCAGAAAGCAACGGCUAACUACGUG
rnacentral:rRNA from 1 species